rnacentral:rRNA from 1 species
CCAGCAGCCGCGGUAAUUCCAGCUCCAAUAGCGUAUAUUAAAGUUGUUGCAGUUAAAAAGCUCGUAGUUGGAUUUCUGACGUGAGGCGCUUGGCCCGUGGAUACUAAUCCUCGAGUGUCUGUGUGCCUCGGUCAUCCUUCUAGAAAUUGGCAAUGCUAUUCAUUUAGUUGUUGUCAGGAUCUAGAUCUUUUACUUUGAAAAAAUUAGAGUGUUUAAAGCAGGCUUACGCCUUGAAUACAUUAGCAUGGAAUAAUAACUUAGGACUUUGGUUCUAUUUUGUUGGUUUCUAGGACUGAAGUAAUGAUUGAUAGGGAUAGUUGGGGGUGCUAGUAUUCAGCGGCCAG